rnacentral:lncRNA from 1 species
GUUGGGAAACUAUCCACAGUCAUCCGGGUGAGAGAUGAGGACUGAACUGAGGCAGAAGCAGUGGGGAUUUCACAAGGGAGUCUAAGACCACAGAUGCUGGAGAAGGGCGAUGGGGAGGCUGUGGUUGUUGGUUGGACAUGGGCUACGGGAGGAGAAUGAAGUAUCCACUGGGCUUGCUGAGCUGGGCAUGGGUGAGUUGGGGGGCAGAGGACACAUCCAAUGUGGACAUCCAGGUGGAUGCUCAGGCCUGGGAGUACCCCAGGAGUGCAGCUAUGUGUGUCUCCUGCCCCACAGACAACCAUGAAGGGAUGCUGGUGUACGUCAGCCCAAGGUUAGGUAACCUUGGUGGACCCCUGUAACUGUCUGGCUCUAGGAUUCCUCUUCUGCACAAGAGUGAUGCUACCUCAUGAGCUUGUGGGGACUCUCACAUGCUGAGCUUUUUACAUAAAAAAAUAGCACAGGACUACAUGAGUAUAUUCUCAUUGCAAAAAAUCAAAACAUGGAAAAGCAAAAGUGCAAGUUUCUGUUCUCCAAACUUCCUUACCCCCUCCGCCCCCCACCUGCCCAAUUCCUUCCCUUCCCUUUUUGGGUAUCCAUAUAGACAGUUUCCUUCACAUUUACUUACAGACAUAGACUUAUAUGACAAAUAGUUUUGUUUUUGGU